ACAGGAAAAAACACAGCAGGAAAUGAAGCAGUGACGGAAGCAGGAAAAAGCACAGUAGAAAAUGAAUCACUGGGACCAACAGCUGUUGUUGUGAGUGUCAGUUCCACACUGAAAACGGAAACACCAUCAGAACAACAAGGAAAAAACACAGCAGGAAAUGAAGCAGUGACGGAAGCAGGAAAAAGCACAGUAGAAAAUGAAUCACUGGGACCAACAGCUGUUGUUGUGAGUGUCAGUUCCACACUGAAAACGGAAACACCAUCAGAACAACAAGGUAA